UACAGAGGGGGCAAGCGUUGUUCGGAAUUACUGGGCGUAAAGGGCUCGUAGGCGGCCAACUAAGUCAGACGUGAAAUCCCUCGGCUUAACCGGGGAACUGCAUCUGAUACUGGAUGGCUUGAGAUUGGGAGAGGGAUGCGGAAUUCCAGGUGUAGCGGUGAAAUGCGUAGAUAUCUGGAGGAACACCUAUGGCGAAGGCAGCUCUCUGGGACGGUACUGACGCUGAGACGCGAAAGCGUGGGGAGCGAACAGG
rnacentral:rRNA from 1 species